rnacentral:rRNA from 1 species
CCCUAACACGGCAGUAUAAACACUGCUCGCCAAACAACUACGAGUGAAAACUUAAAACUUAAAGGACUUGACGGUACUUCACCCAACCUAGAGGAGCCUGUCCAAUAACCGAUAACCCACGAUUAAUCCAACCACUUCUGGCCAUUCAGUCUAUAUACCACCGUCGCCAGCCCACCUUGCAAAAGAAACAAAGUGAGCUAAAUAGUACUACACUAACACGACAGGUCGAGGUGUAACUUAUGAAGUGGACCAAGAUGGGCUACAUUUUCUAACACAGACUAUACGAACAAAGACGUGAAACCGCCUUUCAAAGGUGGAUUUAGCAGUAAGYUAAGAACAUAAUACCUAGCUGAAACCAUUGCAA